rnacentral:lncRNA from 1 species
GCGGCGAUUCCCGUCACUAAACUCCGUGACAGAACCGCCGUCCCUAAGCCGUUACAAAUCCAAAAAUUAAAUAUUUAAAAAAUUACGUAUUUCCCGUCACUAACCAGUCAUUGAGUUAGUGACGAAGAUAACUUGGUCACUGAUUUUGUCACAGAAUUCGGUCACAAAUUUGGUCACUGAUUUGUCACAACCUUCAGUGACAGAUUUAGUCGUCACAGACAUGGUCA